rnacentral:piRNA from 1 species
UAGAACAGACUCUUGAGAGAACACAUGAUG